GGCCCGGGGCGAGCGAUCAGCCCCGGGAGGCCCUCCCUGCCCUCCCUGCCCUCCGGGGGGAAGGAACAGCAGUCUCUGGAAAGCCCCAGGACUGCAGCCUUCUCUGACACGACCCCAGAGCUUGAACUAUUGCAUCCUGGGACUCCCAAAAGUGCAAGCCAGCCCUCCCGAGGCUUGGGUCUGGAGCUGACGGCGAAUCUCAUGUGUCAUUGCCCACUGGUCUUUUCCUUGUCUUUGGUGACCUUGACAGUUUUGAGGAGUGCUGGUCAGAUAUGUGCAGAACAUGACGAGCCUGAGAUGAUGCAGCUGGGGAGGAGGACCACACAGAUGGAAGUGCCAUUCUCAUCACACCAAAUCAAGGAGGCAGAUUACCAACAUAGCUUCUCGCCGUUGCUGUUGACCUUGACCACCACCUGGAUGAGGGUAAUUGGUCUCAUACCUACCCAUGGACUGAGAAUCCGUUCAUUGGGAAGUGCCUGGAGCUGAGUGGCUUAGGCCUGGAUUCCUGAACCAAUCCCAGGCAGGGAAUGGACCCCCCUCCCCCCUUUAUCAAGAAGAUUA